rnacentral:snRNA from 1 species
GUGCUCGCUUCGGCAGCACAUACACUAAAAUUGGAAUGAUACAAAGAAUAUUAGCAUGGCCCCUGUGCAAGGAUGACACGCAAAUUCAUGAAGUAUUCCAUAUUUUU